rnacentral:rRNA from 1 species
AGUGAACGCUGGCGGUAGGCCUAACACAUGCAAGUCGAACGGCAGCACAGUAAGAGCUUGCUCUUACGGGUGGCGAGUGGCGGACGGGUGAGGAAUACAUCGGAAUCUACUUUUUCGUGGGGGAUAACGUAGGGAAACUUACGCUAAUACCGCAUACGACCUACGGGUGAAAGCAGGGGAUCUUCGGACCUUGCGCGAUUGAAUGAGCCGAUGUCGGAUUAGCUAGUUGGCGGGGUAAAGGCCCACCAAGGCGACGAUCCGUGGCCGGUCUGAGAGGAUGAUCAGCCACACUGGAACUGAGACACGGUCCAGACUCCUACGGGAGGCAGCAGUGGGGAAUAUUGGACAAAGGGCGCAAGCCUGAUCCAGCCAUACCGCGUGGGUGAAGAAGGCCUUCGGGUUGUAAAGCCCUUUUGUUGGGAAAGAAAAGCAGCAGGUUAAUACCCCGCUGUUCUGACGGUACCCAAAGAAUAAGCACCGGCUAACUUCGUG